UACGAAGGGGGCUAGCGUUGUUCGGAUUUACUGGGCGUAAAGCGCACGUAGGCGGAUUGUUAAGUCAGGGGUGAAAUCCUGGAGCUCAACUCCAGAAUUGCCUUCGAUACUGUUUGGCUUGAGACCGGAAGAGGUAAGUGGAACUGCGAGUGUAGAGGUGAAAUUCGUAGAUAUUCGCAAGAACACCAGUGGCGAAGGCGGCUUACUGGUCCGGUUCUGACGCUGAGGCGCGAAAGCGUGGGGAGCAAACAGG
rnacentral:rRNA from 1 species